UUCCGAAUUCGUUGGAAACAAAAGAGACAUAAAUACACUACUAAUGUAGUUGUUGAAAACAAAAACAAAACACAUUUUAGAUAUCCUAAUACAUUCCAUUCAUAGUCAAAAAAUUACAGGAACGAAGCAAACCGACACAUGACUGUACACCCGUCAACAGGGAUUAGGGUUUCGUUCACGAGUUCGAAACUAAAGUCUUCGUCGAUGACCCGAUUCAACUCUCCAGAUCGUCGAUUUGGUCUGUCAAAUCAUCGAUUUGAGUGGCAAAUCCCCGAUUUGAGACCAAAAUCAUCAGGAUCUGACAAACUGCCGAUCUUGCCUCUUUGAACUCGUCGAUUCACCUCCAAAUCGUCGAUUCCGGACCGUUACUCGUGUCCAACUCGCGCCAUUAUGACCGGACGCGAUUGCCGCCGCGGAUUACGCCUCUAGAUGUCAUAUAAAAGGAGACCUCGGGUUCACUCCAAAGAUAUCAGUUCCAUCCAUUUUAAAGCAUAUUACAUGAAGCAAAUCGCCGUUUCUGAUUGUGCAAUCGUCGAUUCCUUCCGUAAGACUUGACGUAGAACGCACUUCAUGGAUCUGAAAGCUUUCGGCACGCCAAUAUAGCUGCUCGCACCACCGCGAGCGUUGGUAAGACAUUCCG
rnacentral:lncRNA from 1 species